rnacentral:rRNA from 1 species
AUGGGGAGCCCUCCCGACCAUGGUGCUCCCAAAGUACCCCCUCCCCCAAGUGCCUUCUCUCAAAGCGUUGUUGCAUAUGAUGAAAAUCAGAAACCAACCUUGAAGGAGGCUCUGUGUCUUGGUGACGCCAUUUCAGAUCUGCCCACGGUAAGCAACGAUGAAACUGCGGAUGAAACUGUGUAUAGUGUGAAAGCAGAGACGGAAUUCCAGCGCUAUAUCCGGCUAAGUCGUAAAGAGAUGCUGGACUACUCAUUUGGUGAUAACAAAUGUCCCUCAGAAGGUAAGCUCCUGGAUCACCGGCCUUUGAAGCUGAACAAAGAUGACUAUGAGCGUGUUAAGCAAAUACCAUAUCAGAAGAUACAUGCAAGUCGGCAACGCGGUGGCGGUCCCAGUCGGCCGUGCGUUGGGGUAUGCGCUGGCCCAGGCGUUCCUGCGCAAGUCGGAGGGGAACAGCAACCCGCUGAUCGUGCUGCCCGACGACUUCUCCGACGUGGCCACGAUGAGGGCGAGGGCAAGGGCAGCGUCGGCUGCUGCCGAGGUGGCGGCGGAGGAGUUGGAAGGAGCUUGAGACCUGAGUUCAUCUGGGAACAACUAAUCACUAGCUAUCAUGAUGACUCGUUAGGAUGGGUGGGAGACGAGUAA